rnacentral:rRNA from 1 species
GACGAACGCUGGCGGCGUGCCUAAUACAUGCAAGUCGAGCGCAGGAAACUGACGGAACUCUUCGGAGGGAAGGCAGCGGAAUGAGCGGCGGACGGGUGAGUAACACGUAAGGAACCUGCCUCAAGGAUUGGGAUAACUCCGAGAAAUCGGAGCUAAUACCGGAUAGUUCAACGGACCGCAUGGUCCGCUGAUGAAAGGCGCUCCGGCGUCACCUUGAGAUGGCCUUGCGGUGCAUUAGCUAGUUGGUGGGGUAACGGCCCACCAAGGCGACGAUGCAUAGCCGACCUGAGAGGGUGAUCGGCCACACUGGGACUGAGACACGGCCCAGACUCCUACGGGAGGCAGCAGUAGGGAAUCUUCCACAAUGGACGAAAGUCUGAUGGAGCAACGCCGCGUGAGUGAUGAAGGUUUUCAGAUCGUAAAACUCUGUUGUAAGGGAAGAACACGUACGAGAGGGAAUGCUCGUACCUUGACGGUACCUUACGAGAAAGCCACGGCUAACUACGUGCCAGCCGCCGCCGUAAUAC